rnacentral:lncRNA from 1 species
GAGCCCGUGCUGGUGCUCUCUCUUCUCUCCUUAGCCAAGAACCAUCGGGGGUCUUCUUAAAUUUCAUCAUCGCCAUCAAUUGAUCAUCAUAUGUGUCAUAAGUGUUAGGGACCUCAAAAUCUGUCUCUCUGCUCAAGUCAACGCCGACAUCCUUGAACACUCUGGUAAGGAAGCGGCCAUAGAGGAAUACGUGAGUCGUGCCCUCUUAACAUGAGAUCAUGUGCAUCAUCAUCAAGUACCCCAAGUGGAUCCGUUUCCCAGUCAGAACAGAG